rnacentral:lncRNA from 1 species
GAUUCAAGCUUAUCGCAAUGAAAAAGUCAGGACUUUCAUAAUGUAUAUAUAAGAACUGACAGGAGAUUAUAUGUUAAAUGUACUAGUUACAAGGUAUUUGUUCUUCUUAUAGAGAACAAGUUGGUGUACAUCAGUUACACUAAAUCUUGCAUACCAUAUACUGUAAUUUUAUUAAACUUUUUAUUCAUGUGUAAGUUGUAUUAAAGUAUGGCUGCAACUUACUUUUGAGAUUGAACAAGUUUGAACAUAGUCAAUUGACAUCAAUUUUACUAGUGCUAGUAGUGUACCUUGUUAU